rnacentral:rRNA from 1 species
GCCAUCAUUUAAAGAGUGCGUAAUAGCUCACUAGUCGAGUGACACUGCGCCGAAAAUGUACCGGGGCUAAACAUAUUACCGAAGCUGUGGAUUGUCCUUUGGACAAUGGUAGGAGAGCGUUCUAAGGGCGUUGAAGCAUGAUCGUAAGGACAUGUGGAGCGCUUAGAAGUGAGAAUGCCGGUGUGAGUAGCGAAAGACGGGUGAGAAUCCCGUCCACCGAUUGACUAAGGUUUCCAGAGGAAGGCUCGUCCGCUCUGGGUUAGUCGGGUCCUAAGCUGAGGCCGACAGGCGUAGGCGAUGGAUAACAGGUUGAUAUUCCUGUACCACCUAUAAUCGUUUUAAUCGAUGGGGGGACGCAGUAGGAUAGGCGAAGCGUGCGAUUGGAUUGCACGUCUAAGCAGUAAGGCUGAGUAUUAGGCAAAUCCGGUACUCGUUAAGGCUGAGCUGUGAUGGGGAGAAGACAUUGUGUCUUCGAGUCGUUGAUUUCACACUGCCGAGAAAAGCCUCUAGAUAGAAAAUAGGUGCCCGUACCGCAAACCGACACAGGUAGUCAAGAUGAGAAUUCUAAGGUGAGCGAGCGAACUCUCGUUAAGGAACUCGGCAAAAUGACCCCGUAACUUCGGGAGAAGGGGUGCUCUUUAGGGUUAACGCCCAGAAGAGCCGCAGUGAAUAGGCCCAAGCGACUGUUUAUCAAAAACACAGGUCUCUGCUAAACCGUAAGGUGAUGUAUAGGGGCUGACGCCUGCCCGGUGCUGGAAGGUUAAGAGGAGUGGUUAGCUUCUGCGAAGCUACGAAUCGAAGCCCCAGUAAACGGCGGCCGUAACUAUAACGGUCCUAAGGUAGCGAAAUUCCUUGUCGGGUAAGUUCCGACCCGCACGAAAGGCGUAACGAUUUGGGCACUGUCUCAACGAGAGACUCGGUGAAAUCAUAGUACCUGUGAAGAUGCAGGUUACCCGCGACAGGACGGAAAGACCCCGUGGAGCUUUACUGUAGCCUGAUAUUGAAAUUCGGCACAGCUUGUACAGGAUAGGUAGGAGCCUUUGAAACGUGAGCGCUAGCUUACGUGGAGGCGCUGGUGGG